CAGGCUCCCUCGCGGGCUGUGCGUCGCGUUCAGAGCUGCCGCUGGUUGAUUUCACGGUGCUUUCCACCAGCAAGAAUUGGGGGUGGUGCCGGGCUUUGGCUUCGGCCAGCGGACUUGGGUUCCCUGGCCGCCCCAGCUACCCGUCUUCACGUUUCCAUCUGUUCUCAGCUGGGGGGUACGGGGGAAGAUGGCUGGAAGGCCCCCUGCCCCUGACUCCCACUUCCCAGCCUCUCUGACUGCGGGCUCCUUGGCCUAGCAAGGUGCAGAACACCUGCCACCUGCACCUGAGAGCCCUCCCACUCCAAAGACCUUCCGCACCAAGACCUCGUUUCUGGCAGUCAUGUCUCCUCUGAAAUAGGUGGCAGUUCACUUUCACAAUUUUUAAACUGGUGAGAAAGGACUUGAAUGUGGCUAGAGGAGGGCAGGCCGGAGGCCACACAUGCAGGAAGGUGCCUGAUGUACAAGCCCAUACUGGCCGGAAGGCAGGCCUGUGGAAAACGAGGAUCCACAUGUGUAAAUAAACGGGAACUACAGCUCAAAGGCAGUCAUACACUUGUCAUUCUUGUUUCUUCCUCUCAUGACAUGGAAAGGCAGGUAGAAAGAUCUCUUGAAGGUUGCUCCGAAGCCCAUGGGAGUGAAUGUUCCGGUGGACUUGGGGCUCUGCUGACGGAGGCCAGGCCACAAGGGGACAACGCUGGCACCAGGCCCAGUCACCUCUGUACCACUCGUUAGUAGUCUGGUUGGUGGCCGCCAGAUACAGGACAAACAACAGCUCCUCUUGGGCAGCAGUGUGUGCCUGGCAUGACCAGUAGCUGCCGGACAUGGUUCUUCCAGGAGCCUGGAUCUGG
rnacentral:lncRNA from 1 species